rnacentral:rRNA from 1 species
UACGUAGGGUGCGAGCGUUGUCCGGAAUUAUUGGGCGUAAAGCGCACGUAGGCGGCUUUGUAAGUUAGAGGUGAAAGCCCAGGGCUUAACCCUGGAAUUGCCUUUAAGACUGCAUCGCUAGAAUCGUGGAGAGGUGAGUGGAAUUCCGAGUGUAGAGGUGAAAUUCGUAGAUAUUCGGAAGAACACCAGUGGCGAAGGCGACUCACUGGACACGUAUUGACGCUGAGGUGCGAAAGCGUGGGGAGCAAACAGG